UGGUUGCCUGUCAGUGAGAACACUGAGCGCAGCCCUGUGGAGAGGCUGACAGGAUGAGGAACUGAGGCCUCCCGCCAACAGCCAGCACCAGUGUGCCAGGCCUGUGAGUGAGCACAUCUCACAGCCCCAGGAAGCCCAGUCAACAGGGCUGCGUGUUCCUGGAGGAUGGGAACUGUGUCUUAUCAUUCUGCUGGGGACUCAUAUGAGAAGAGGAGGUUGAGAUCUCUGCAGCAGACAUUCCCAAACCUGGUGGAGCAUCAGAACCAGGAAUAGGGUCUCAUAGGACAAUGUCUCAGUACAACCUCAAACUUCUUGGCUCAAGCGACCCUCUCGCCUCAGCCCCCCUAGUAGCUGGGACUACGGGCACACCACCAUGUCUAGCUGGGACUACAGGCACACCACCAUGCCUGGCUAAUUAAUUUUUUUUUUUUUUUUUUUAGAGAUAGGGUCUUGCUCUGUUGCCCAGGCUGAUCUCGAACUCCUGGGCUCAAGCAAUCCUCCUGCCUCAGCCUUCCAAAAUGUUGGGAUUAUAGGCGUGAGUCACUGCACCUGGCCUUGUAAUGAUCUAAUUUCUUGUAUGGUUUAUUUAUCAGGGUCUGCCUUCCUAACAGGCUGUAGGUUCCUCAAGGGUUGGGACUGUGCCUGUGUUCUGGGCACCUGCCCAUGCCUGGCAAUUUGAAGAAGCUCAAUUGCUACAUGUUGAAGGAAUGAAUAAUUGCAUGAGCAACCAUCGAUAAUUGCAUGCUACAACCAUCAAACUUGCAGGGUUCUUCCAUGGAAUAAGUGAGCUUCAGCACCACAGAAGAGACCAGAGUCUACCUUGCCAGCUCCUCUAGCACCGACCACGUGCCAAUUCAUGUCCUGAAUGCUCACUUCACUUCUUCACCUUGCUUCACUUCACUUACUGCACGGGAACAGAAAAGCCUAGAGAGGAUGGAUUACCUGUGCGGUUGCCUCCCUCUGCAGAGUGGGCGUGUCUCAGGAGCUUCUCUUCUUCUCCAGCCCAGUGCGGCCUCGUGUCAUCCAUAGGACCCACCGGCAGAGGGCAGGGCCUGCGAGUGGGGCCAGCCUCCUGGUGACUCUCGCCUCCUCUUUUCCAGCGGACGCUACCAGAGGACGAAGGUCUGACUCUGGCCAACGGCCCAGAAUUUCUGGCCCAGUUUUGCCUGAGGAAGCCAACUGUGCAGGAGGUCAGGAUCCCGGUAGGGUGAGAGUGGGAAAGUUAACAUUCCCAAGAGACUCCAAGCAACAGGAUUUCCUGACCUGGGACUAUUACCUUUCUCACAUUACAUGGCCAGAUUUACUUCCUGCUAUUAUUAAAAGUACGAAAAAG
ensembl:lncRNA novel transcript